AAUGCACCUUGCGCCCUUUGGUAUUCCAUAGGGCUUGCCCGUUUGAGUGUCGCGUUUGCCUUCAACCGGCGUGGUUGGACCUGAGCCUGCGGGCUUUUCCCGCUUGCUUCAAAUGCAUUAGCUGGGCAGCUGGGCCUGGGCUUGACGUCGGUCGGUUGGUUUCGUGCGUUUUGCUAUAACGUCUGCCCCUCCCUUCUGCUGGCUUGCUUGCGUCGUCCGUCUUUUGAACUCUGACCUCAAAUCGGGUAGGGCUACCCGCUGAACUUAA
rnacentral:misc_RNA from 1 species